AGGGGCCCGCACAAGCGGAGGAACAUGUGGUUUAAUUCGAUGAUUACGCGAGGAACCUUACCUGGGCUUAAAUGUAGAGUGCAUUUUCUAGAGAUAGGAAAUUCCCUUCGGGGCUUUCUACAAGGUGCUGCAUGGUUGUCGUCAGCUCGUGCCGUGAGGUGUCGGGUUAAGUCCCAUAACGAGCGCAACCCUUAUCGUUAGUUGCCAUCUGGUAAAGCAGGGGACUCUAGCGAAACUGCCACCGUAAGGUGAGAGGAAGGUGGGAUGACGUCAAAUCAGCACGGCCCUUAUGUCCAGGGCUACACACGUGUUACAAUGGUCGGUACAGAGGGCAGCUACCUGGUGACAGGAUGCUAAUCUCGAAAACCGGCCUCAGUUCGGAUCGAAGUCUGCAACUCGACUUCGUGAAGCUGGAUUCGCUAGUAAUCGCGCAUCAGCCAUGGCGCGGUGAAUACGUUCCCGGGCCUU
rnacentral:rRNA from 1 species